rnacentral:tRNA from 1 species
GGAAUUAGCUCAGUGGGUUGAGUGUGGCACUGACAACGCCAAGAUCGUGGGUUCGAUUCCCGCUUGGUCCC